rfam:Ictidomys tridecemlineatus contig066630, whole genome shotgun sequence.
GGGGCUGGGGCUCAGUUGGUAGAGUGCUUGCCUUGCAUGCACAAGGUCCUGGGUUCGAUCCCCAGCACCAUCA